AAAAAAAACCCUAAGCUUCCUUCCCCUCCCCCCCGAUUCUACGUAUCCUUCCCCUCCCCUCAUCUGCUCUCUCUCUCAACCCUAGCUACGAAACCGUAGCCGCCGCCGCCGCCGUGAUGGUCUUAACCCCGCCUCUUCUCCCACCAACACACUCACACCCAUCAAGAACGCGAAGCUCUCACCCCUGUCGCAGAUCUGCCUAAACUCGAGCCAUCUCUUGGUUCUGACAGUGACCACCCAGAACCUAAUCAAACUACCAAUGUAGAGGAUGAUACUCAUAAGCAUAAGGAUGAUGGUCAACAACUGUCCAACGGCCAAGUGU